GGUUUUAAACCCUAAACCGAACUUUUCCAUUCAGCCAGCAUUAGGGUUUUAAACCCUAAACUGAGCUUUUCCAUGCAAUCAGCAUUAGGGUUUUAAACCCUAAACUGAAUUUUCCUUUUAGUCAGCAUUGGGGUUUUAAACCCUAAACUGAACUUUUCCUUUCAGCCAGCAUUAGAGUUUUAAACUCUAAACUGAGCUUUUCCAUGCAAUCAGUAAUAGGGUUUUAAACCCUAAACUGAAUUUUCCUUUUAGUCAGCAUUAGGGUUUUAAACCCUAAACUGAACUUUUCCCUUUCAGCCAGCGUUAGAGUUUUAAACUCUAAACUGAGCUUUUCCAUGCAAUCAGCAUUAGGGUUUUAAACCCUAAACUGAAUUUUUCCUUUAAUCAGCAUUAGGGUUUUAAACCCUAAACUGAACCUUUUCCUUUCAGCCAGCAUUAGAGUUUUAAACUCUAAACUGAGCUUUUCCAUGCAAUCAACAUUAGGGUUUUAAACCCUAAACUGAAUUUUUCCUUUAAUCAGCAUUAGGGUUUUAAACCCUAAACUGAA
rnacentral:lncRNA from 1 species